rnacentral:lncRNA from 1 species
CCAAGAUGUGAGUUUUUGCACUAUUGGCUGGUGGAGUGAACUGAAGGACAGAUGCAGUAAUGCCAGAGUUGAUAUUAGCCUGAAAUGAGACUGCAAAGUGCAGCCAUAAAGUACCUGUUUCCAUUAAAAACAGUUUGAAUGAUGAAGAAGUUCAAUACAUUGAGAUAUGUAGAUACAAAAAUUACGUGGGCUUGUGGAGUUCCCUGGUGGCUCAGGGGUAAAGAAGCUGCCUGACAGUGCAAGAGACAUGGGUUCGAUCCCUGGUUCUUAAAGAUCCCACAUGUCAAGGAGCAACUAAGCCUGUGCACCACAACUGCUGAGCCUGUGAUCUAGAGCCCCGAACCAGAACUACUGAGCCAAUGAGCCAUACUACUGAAGUCCACAGCCCCUAGAGCCCCUGCUCCACAACAGGAGAAGCUCCACAGUGGGAAGCCCACACACUGCGGCCAGAGAGUAGCCUCUGCUCCCCACACUAGAGAAAAAGCAAUGAAGACCCAGCACAGCCAAAAUAAAUAAAUAAAUUUAAAAUUUUAAAAAUACGUGUGUUUGCAUGUGUUUAUGUUUAUGUAU